rnacentral:snoRNA from 1 species
CCUUUUGCCAAUGAUGCGGAGAAUUUCUUCACCUGAACGAUUAUGUGGCCGCUUUACGAUCCUGAGACAAAAGG